UGGGGAAUAUUGGGCAAUGGGCGAAAGCCUGACCCAGCAACGCCGCGUGAAGGAAGAAGGCUUUCGGGUUGUAAACUUCUUUUGUCAGGGACGAAGCAAGUGACGGUACCUGACGAAUAAGCCACGGCUAACUACGUGCCAGCAGCCGCGGUAAUACGUAGGUGGCAAGCGUUAUCCGGAUUUACUGGGUGUAAAGGGCGUGUAGGCGGGACUGCAAGUCAGAUGUGAAAACUCAGGGCUCAACCCUGAGCCUGCAUUUGAAACUGUAGUUCUUGAGUACUGGAGAGGCAGACGGAAUUCCUAGUGUAGCGGUGAAAUGCGUAGAUAUUAGGAGGAACACCAGUGGCGAAGGCGGUCUGCUGGACAGCAACUGACGCUGAGGCGCGAAAGCGUGGGGAGCAAACAGG
rnacentral:rRNA from 1 species